rnacentral:rRNA from 1 species
AACGAACGCUGGCGGCAGGCCUAACACAUGCAAGUCGAGCGAGGACUUCGGUUCUAGCGGCGGACGGGUGCGUAACGCGUGGGAAUGUGCCCUUCUCUACGGAAUAGCCCUGGGAAACUGGGAGUAAUACCGUAUACGCCCUAUUGGGGAAAGAUUUAUCGGAGAAGGAUCAGCCCGCGUUGGAUUAGGUAGUUGGUGGGGUAAUGGCCUACCAAGCCGACGAUCCAUAGCUGGUUUGAGAGGAUGAUCAGCCACACUGGGACUGAGACACGGCCCAGACUCCUACGGGAGGCAGCAGGGGGGAAUCUUAGACAAUGGGGGCAACCCUGAUCUAGCCAUGCCGCGUGAGUGAUGAAGGCCUUAGGGUUGUAAAGCUCUUUCAGCUGGGAAGAUAAUGACGGUACCAGCAGAAGAAGCCCCGGCUAACUCCGUG